rnacentral:lncRNA from 1 species
GACAUUGUCACAUCUGUUUUUUUAACAGUAUCUCCCGCGUUUAACAUUCUCUUCUCACAUUAUGAGUCCCGGCGACACCGACAUUGUCACAUCUGUUUUUUUAAUAGAUAGUACCUCCUGCGUUUAACAUUCUCUUCUCACAUUAUGAGUCCCGGCGACACCGACAUUGUCACAUCUGUUUUUUUAAUGGUACCUCCCGCGUUUAACAUUCUCUUCUCACAUUAUGAGUCCCGGCGACACCGACAUUGUCACAUCUGUUUUUUUAAUGGUACCUCCCGCGUUUAACAUUCUCUUCUCACAUUAUGAGUCCCGGCGACACCGACAUUGUCACAUCUGUUUUUUUAAUGGUACCUCCCGCGUUUAACAUUCUCUUCUCACAUUAUGAGUCCCGGCGACACCGACAUUGUCACAUCUGUGUUUUAACAGUACCUCCUGCGUUUAACAUUCUCUUCUCACAUUAUGAGUCCCGGCGACACCGACAUCGUCACAUCUGUGUUUUAACAGUACCUCCCGCGUUUAACAUUCUCUUCUCACAUUAUGAGUCCUGGCGACACCGACAUUGUCACAUCUGUUUUUUAACAGUACCUCCCGCGUUUAACAUUCUCUUCUCACAUUAUGAGUCCCGGCGACACCGACAUUGUCACAUCUGUUUUUUUA